rnacentral:rRNA from 1 species
UCUGUAGGCGGUAGAGUAAGUCAGAUGUGAAAUCCCGGGGCUCAACCUCGGAACUGCAUCCGAUACUGCUUUACUUGAGUGUUGGAGGGGAAACUGGAAUUCUCGGUGUAGCAGUGAAAUGCGUAGAUAUCGAGAGGAACACUAGUGGCGAAGGCGAGUUUCUGGACAACUACUGACGCUGAGAGACGAAGGCCAGGGUAGCGAAAA